rnacentral:rRNA from 1 species
AGAGUUUGAUCAUGGCUCAAGAUGAACGCUAGCGGCAGGCUUAAUACAUGCAAGUCGAGGGGCAGCAGGGAUAGCAAUAUUCGCUGGCGACCGGCGCACGGGUGCGUAACACGUAUACAAUCUGCCUUUUACUGGGGGAUAGCCUUUCGAAAGAGAGAUUAAUACCCCAUAAUAGAUUGCUCGGCAUCGAGUGAUUUUGAAAGCUCCGGCGGUAAGAGAUGAGUAUGCGUCUGAUUAGCUAGUAGGUGAGGUAAAGGCUCACCUAGGCCACGAUCAGUAGGGGAUCUGAGAGGACUAACCCCCACACGGAUACUGAGACACGGAUCCGACUCCUACGGGAGGCAGCAGUAAGGAAUAUUGGACAAUGCCCGCAAGGGUGAUCCAGCCAUGCCGCGUGCAGGAAGACGGCCCUAUGGCUUGUAAACUGCUUUUAUACAAGAGAAAACCUCCCUACGUGUAGGGAGCUGAUAGUAUUGUAGGAAUAAGCAUCGGCUAACUUCGUGCCAGCAGCCGCGGUAAGACGAAGGAUGCAAGCGUUAUCCGGAUUCAUUGGGUUUAAAGGGAGCGUAGGCGGUCUUAUAAGUCAGUGGUGAAAGCUCCUCGCUUAACGAGGAAAUUGCCAUUGAUACUGUAGGACUUGAGUACAGUUGCUGUGGGCGGAAUAUGACAUGUAGUGGUGAAUACAUAGAUAUGUCAUAGACACCGAU